rnacentral:rRNA from 1 species
AGUGAACGCUGGCGGCAUGCCUAACACAUGCAAGUCGAACGGCAGCACAGCAGUAGCAAUACUGUGGGUGGCGAGUGGCGGACGGGUGAGGAACACAUCGGAAUUUGCCCAGUCGUGGGGGAUAACGUAGGGAAACUUACGCUAAUACCGCAUGCGCCCUUCGGGGGAAAGCCGGGGACCGUAAGGCCUGGCGCGAUUGGAUGAGCCCAUGUCGGAUUAGCUAGUUGGCGGGGUAACGGCCCACCAAGGCGACGAUCCGUAGCUGGUCUGAGAGGAUGAUCAGCCACACUGGAACUGAGACACGGUCCAGACUCCUACGGGAGGCAGCAGUAGGGAAUAUUGGACAAUGGGGGCAACCCUGAUCCAGCCAUGCCGCGUGAGUGAAGAAGGCCCUCGGGUUGUAAAGCUCUUUUGUCCGGAAAGAAAAGCAAUCGGUUAAUACCCGGUUGUUCUGACGGUACCGGAAGAAUAAGCACCGGCUAACUUCGUGCCAGCAGCCGCGGUAA